rnacentral:rRNA from 1 species
AGUGAACGCUGGCGGUAUGCCUAACACAUGCAAGUCGAACGGCAGCACAGUAAGAUCUUGCUCUUACGGGUUGCGAGUGGCGGACGGGUGACGAAUACAUCGGAAUCUACUUUUUCGUGGGGGAUAACGUAGGGAAACUUACGCUAAUACCGCAUCCGAUCUACGGGUGAAAGCAGUGGAUCUUCGGACCUUUCGCGAUUGAAUGAGCCGAUGUCGGAUUUGCUAGUUGGGGGGGUAAAGGCCCACCCAGUCGACGAUCCGCAGCUCGACUGUGAGGAGGGUCGGCCACAUGGGAACUGGAACACGGUCAAGAGUACUACGGGAGGCAGCAGUGGGGAAUAUUAGGCAGUGGGCGCAAGCCUGAUACAGCCAUCCCGCGUGGGUGGAGAAGGCCUUCGGGUCGGAAAGACCUUUUGUGGGGAAAGAAAAGCAUCCGGUUAAUACCCCGCUGUUCUGACGGUACCCAAAAAAUAAGCACCGGCUAACUUCGUG